rnacentral:rRNA from 1 species
UGCGGAGGGUGCGAGCGUUGUCCGGAAUCACUGGGCGUAAAGGGCGCGUAGGUGGCGCGGGAAGUCAACGGUGAAAGUUCAGGGCUCAACCCUGAAUCGGCCGUCGAUACUCCCGGGCUUGAGCACUGUAGAGGCAGAUGGAAUUCCGGGUGUAGCGGUGGAAUGCGUAGAGAUCCGGAAGAACACCGGUGGCGAAGGCGGUCUGCUGGGCAGUUGCUGACACUGAUGCGCGACAGCGUGGGGAGCAAACAGG